rnacentral:rRNA from 1 species
AGAAUUCCCGGUGUAGCGGUGAAAUGCGUAGAGAUCUGGAAGAAUACCGAUGGCGAAGGCGGCCUUCCUGCCUAAUACUGACUCUGAGGUGCGAAAGCAUGGGGAGCAAACAGGAUUAUAUACCCUGGUAGUCCAUGCCGUAAACGAUGUCUACUAGCCGUUGGGGCCUUUGACGCUUUAGUGGCGCAGCUAACGCGAUAAGUACACCGCCUGGGGAGUACGGUCGCAAGACUAAAACUCAAAUGAAUUGACGGGGGCCCGCACAAGCGGUGGAGCAUGUGGUUUAAUUCGAUGCAACGCGAAGAACCUUACCUGGUCUUGACAUACUAAGAACUUUCCAGAGAUGGAUUGGUGCCUUCGGGAACUUACAUACAGGUGCUGCAUGGCUGUCGUCAGCUCGUGUCGUGAGAUGUUGGGUUAAGUCCCGCAACGAGCGCAACCCUUUUCCUUAUUUGCCAGCGGGUUAAGCCGGGAACUUUAAGGAUACUGCCAGUGACAAACUGGAGGAAGGCGGGGACGACGUCAAGUCAUCAUGGCCCUUACGACCAGGGCUACACACGUGCUACAAUGGUCGGUACAAAGGGUUGCUACCUCGCGAGUGGAUGCUAAUCUCAAAA